rnacentral:rRNA from 1 species
UACGAAGGGGGCUAGCGUUGCUCGGAAUCACUGGGCGUAAAGGGUGCGUAGGCGGGUCUUUAAGUCAGAGGUGAAAUCCUGGAGCUCAACUCCAGAACUGCCUUUGAUACUGAGGAUCUUGAGUAUGGGAGAGGUGAGUGGAACUGCGAGUGUAGAGGUGAAAUUCGUAGAUAUUCGCAAGAACACCAGUGGCGAAGGCGGCUCACUGGCCCAUUACUGACGCUGAGGCGCGAAAGCUAGGGGAGCAAACGGG